CAGAAGGAUGGAACCCAGGCACUGCCGCAGACUGGCCAGAAAACAAUGUGGUAUAGGGUCGGCCUGACGAGUCCGCAA